AGGUUUGCUGAGAUGGAGUCAACUCUUCUUGAGAUGUUGUCUGAAGACUGCAAGCCUGAUGUGUGGACAAUGAAUUCUACUCUGAGAGCUUUCGGUAGCAGUGGUCAGAUUGAGACAAUGGAAAGCUGCUACGAGAAGUUCCAGGCAUCUGGUAUCUCCCCAAACAUUAAGACCUACAACAUUUUACUUGAUUCCUAUGGUAAAGCCAAAAUGUAUGAGAAGAUGGGAGCAGUGAUGGAGUACAUGCAGAAGUAUUACUAUUCUUGGACAAUAGUCACAUACAACGUAGUUAUUGAUGCAUUCGGAAGGGCCGGCGAUCUUGAACAGAUGGAAUACAUCUUUAGAUUGAUGAAAUCAGACCGUAUAAAACCUAACUGUGUCACCCUCUGUUCAUUGAUUAGAGCAUAUGGAAGGGCUGACCAAGUAAAGAAAAUAGAGACAGUGUUAAGAGUUGUUGAGAAUUCAGAUAUCACGUUGGAUAUUGUGUUUUUCAACUGUUUGGUGGACGCAUAUGGGAGGGUGGGGCGCUUGGCAGAGAUGUGGGAUGUUCUCAAUAUGAUGAAGGAAGAGCAAAUAAGACCAGACAAGGUAACCUGCACUACCAUGAUCAAAUGGUUUCUCGUCAAAGGGAUUGAUGAUCAUCGUGUUCAGUACCUGCGUGACCUAAAAGAUGGGCGAUCUACAGACAACAAGUAGGUCUGAACAUUAAAACAGAUACUCCCUCCGUUCACUUUUGUAAGACCGUUUAGACAUUUAAGAAAACACCCAAAACAGUUCAAUUUCAGCUGUCUAAAACGUCUUAUGAAAGUGAACAGAGGGAGUACUGAACUUAUGGGUUCUGUUCUCUGCAUUUUUCUCCAAGAAGAUGGAAUGACCUGCGUAAAAGCAUCACUCAGUUUGCCCUUUGCAAAGAGGCAUCAGUCAUAUUCUUCUCUUUGAUGCCCUUAAGGAGAAACUUGAGUGUUACUGAAUCAAGCAUUUGUCCGUGGCAAUUCAGAGGCACAAAAAUUUGCCUUAGAAGUUCAACAGCUGAAGUACAGAACUCUCUGGUAGCAUAUGUCAGAUAGCAAAGUUGCCUAUGGUUAUGGCAUCCCAAGAAUGAGUUGAUGAUCGCAAAUGAAUCCAAACUGGCUUUGCGAUUGAAGGGAAGUGGACAAGAGAGGAAUUUGAAGCCCUCCGUCAGUAGCUAUGAGUUUCGUGACAAUCAAAUAGAACUACUAGCGGUGUGCUGGUGACACUCUUCAGAUUAUGCUGUGUCUUGUGUCUUGAUGUAUUGCUCUUACAUCUGUACAUGACAUCAUAUGUCCUGCUGGCUUACGCAAAGAUGGAGAGAAGCUUAAUAUGCUAACAAAAUCAAAUGUUGUAGUGUUCUACCUUUGAAUUUUUGGGAAAUGAUCUAGUUGAUUGUUUGGUACUUCACCUAACAUUGUUGACAUCACUGUCCUGCAAAAAAGGAAACUGGCACCUAACAAAUAGACCGAGGAAUUGUUGUAAAUGGGGAUUCUAUUCUAUCUUGACCUAUAUUCAACAAAGGCUCUAAAGUUUAUGGAAUGGAAUAUUGUUUGUGGAACUAUCUUUCUGUUUCUUUAAAUUGCCGUCCGACCAUUUAUCGUGGUAUUCUUUUUAAAAUAUCAAGUAGACCAGGGCUUGUAGCAGCUCUGAGUUAACUGUGGAUGUUCUCAGCUUUGAGAAACCAAGUAAAAGAAGCUACAAAGCUCUUCAUGAAUUCAGGUUUUAUUUGUCUAGCACUAUCAACUAAAAUGAGUAUUUUCCAUACUUUGUC
rnacentral:lncRNA from 1 species